CCUACGGGAGGCAGCAGUGAGGGAUAUUGGUCAAUGGGCGAAAGCCUGAACCAGCGACGCCGCGUGGGUGAAGAAGGUCUUCGGAUCGUAAAGCCCUUUUCUGUGGGAAGAGCAAGGACGGUACCACAGGAAGAAGUCUCGGCUAACUACGUGCCAGCAGCCGCGGUAAAACGUAGGAGACAAGCGUUAUCCGGAGUUACUGGGCGUAAAGGGCGUGCAGGUGGUGCGGUAAGUCUGUUGUGAAAGCGCCUGGCUUAACCGGGCGAGGCCAAUGGAGACUGCCGGACUGGAGGGCGGUAGAGGGAUGUGGAAUUCCGGGUGUAGUGGUGAAAUGCGUAGAGAUCCGGAGGAACACCAGAGGCGAAGGCGGCAUCCUAAGCCGUACCUGACACUGAGACGCGACAGCACGGGGAGCAAACGGGAUUAGAAACCCCGGUAGUCCGUGCCGUAAACGAUGCCAGCUAGACGUUCGGGUUCCGAGAGGGACCUGGGUGUCGCAGUCAACGCGAUAAGCUGGCCGCCUGGGGAGUACGG
rnacentral:rRNA from 1 species